AUUCCAGCUCCAAUAGCGUAUAUUAAAGUUGUUGUGGUUAAAAAGCUCGUAGUUGGAUCUCAACAGCCUUGAAGCGGUUAACUUUGUAGUUUUACUGCUUUAUAGGCUGUGCUUUUGCUGGAGGUUUAGGGGUGCUCUUGAUCGAGUGUCUCUGGAUGCCAGCAGGUUUACUUUGAAAAAAUUAGAGUGCUCAAAGCAGGCUAAAAUGCCUGAAUAUUCGUGCAUGGAAUAAUAGAAUAGGAUGUCGAUCCUAUUUUGUUGGUUUUCGGAAAUCGAGUUAAUGAUUAACAGGGACAAUUGGGGGCAUUAGUAUUCAGACGACAGAGGUGAAAUUCUUGGACCGUCUGAAGACUGACUACUGCGAAAGCAUUUGCCAAGGAUGUUUUCAUCA
rnacentral:rRNA from 1 species